GUGGGCGGUUCGCCGCUGGCGACGUCGCGAGAAGUCCACUGAACCUUAUCAUUUAGAGGAAGGAGAAGUCGUAACAAGGUUUCCGUAGGUGAACCUGCGGAAGGAUCAUUGUCGAAACCUGCAAGGCAGAACGACCCGUGAACAAGUGAAAACCAACGCGGGCGACGGGCCCCCCGGGGACCGUCGCUCGAAGCCCGGGUGGGGUGGGGGACGUGGGAGACCACAGCCCCCCUCCCGCGGGCACAACGAACCCCGGCGCGAACCGCGCCAAGGAACCAAACAAAGAUGUGCGCCCCCCACGCCUGGGAACAGUGUCGGGGGGGACGCGUCGUCGUCCAUAUUACAUAUAAACGACUCUCGGCAACGGAUAUCUCGGCUCUCGCAUCGAUGAAGAACGUAGCGAAAUGCGAUACUUGGUGUGAAUUGCAGAAUCCCGUGAACCAUCGAGUUUUUGAACGCAAGUUGCGCCCGAAGCCGUCAGGCCGAGGGCACGCCUGCCUGGGUGUCACGCAACGUCGCCACAACCCCCUCAACCCCCUGCGAAGGGAACGGCGAGGGGUGGCGGAGAUUGGCCUCCCGUGCGCUCCCGCUCGCGGUUGGCCCAAAGAACAGCCCCCUGGCGAUGGCAGCCACGGCACGCGGUGGUUGGAAGCACUGGCUACUCGAACUGCUGUGGGCGAGCCUCGUCGACGGGGAGCGAAAGACCCUGACGCAAGCGUCCCAACAAAGCGACCCCAGGUCAGGCGGGAACACCCGCUGAGUUUAAGCAUAUCAA
rnacentral:sRNA from 1 species